UACGUAGGUCCCGAGCGUUGUCCGGAUUUAUUGGGCGUAAAGCGAGCGCAGGUGGUUUAUUAAGUCUGGUGUAAAAGGCAGUGGCUCAACCAUUGUAUGCAUUGGAAACUGGUAGACUUGAGUGCAGGAGAGGAGAGUGGAACUCCAUGUGUAGCGGUGAAAUGCGUAGAUAUAUGGAGGAGCACCGGUGGCGAAAGCGGCUCUCUGGCCUGUAACUGACACUGAGGCUCGAAAGCGUGGGGAGCAAACAGG
rnacentral:rRNA from 1 species